GGAAUUGGUAUUUGAGGAGGUUAAAAGAGAAUCAGCAACAGAAAAUAAGGUUCAGUGAUCAUGCAGAAGGCAGACACAGUUCAAGCUGUCCUACCAAUAAAGCAGUCCACUACCAAAGACUUCAUUAGAACACCUCUUACACCCAUAAUGGUUAUUUUGCAUUGCCAUGUAAGAAGCCAGCAAAAGUAAUUUCAGCUCUUAAGCUACCAAUAUAUUUUUUGCUGUGCAUACCUGAGCUUACAAACCCCAGUGAAGCCAAAGGAAAGACUCACUCUUACAGUAGUUUUUAUAUGGAUGCUAUUAAAGGACCUAUGAAGAGGAAGAAGCCCAAGAUAGUUAUGAAAAGAUGUGUCCGUAACAGAAUGACAAACAAAGAACUGGAAAAAGGAUAAAACCUUGAGGGCUUUUGUUGCCAAUUUUUGUUUUAUGGAUUUGGUUUGGGGGUUUUGCUGUUUGUUUUUUUCUCCCCUCAU